UGGGGAAUAUUGCGCAAUGGGGGGAACCCUGACGCAGCGACGCCGCGUGCGGGAUGACGGCCUUCGGGUUGUAAACCGCUUUUGAUUGGGAGCAAGCGCAAGUGAGUGUACCUUUCGAAUAAGGACCGGCUAACUACGUGCCAGCAGCCGCGGUAAUACGUAGGGUCCAAGCGUUGUCCGGAAUUAUUGGGCGUAAAGAGCUCGUAGGCGGCGCGUCGCGUCUGGUGUGAAAGUCCAUCGCUUAACGGUGGAUCUGCGCUGGAUACGGGCGUGCUGGAGUGCGGUAGGGGAGACUGGAAUUCCCGGUGUAACGGCGGAAUGUGUAGAUAUCGGGAAGAACACCAAUGGCGAAGGCAGGUCUCUGGGCCGUUACUGACGCUGAGGAGCGAAAGCGUGGGGAGCGAACAGGAUUAGAUACCCGUGGUAGUCCAGCGCCGUAAACGGUGGAUGCUGGAUGUGGGGCCCUUUCCACGGGUUCCGUGUCGGAGCUAACGCGUUAAGCAUCCCGCCUGGGGAGUACGGCCGCAAGGCUAAAAC
rnacentral:rRNA from 1 species